AGCGAACGCUGGCGGCAGGCUUAACACAUGCAAGUCGAGCGCCCCGCAAGGGGAGCGGCAGACGGGAGAGUAACACGUGGGAACGUACCUUUCAGUUCGGAACAACCAAGGGAAACUUUGGCUAAUACCGGAUACGCCCGUAAGGGGAAAGAUUCAUCGCUGAAAGAUCGGCCCGCGUCUGAUUAGCUAGUUGGUGGGGUAAUGGCCCACCAAGGCGCCGAUCAGUAGCUGGUCUGAGAGGAUGAUCAGCCUCACUGGGACUGAGACACGGCCCAGACUCCUACGGGAGGCAGCAGUGGGGAAUAUUGGACAAUGGGCGCAAGCCUGAUCCAGCCAUGCCGCGUGGAUGAUGAAGGCCUUAGGGUUGUAAAGUCCUUUUAACGGGGAAGAUAAUGACGGUACCCGUAGAAUAAGCCCCGGCUAACUUCGUGCCAGCCGCCGCCGUAAGAC
rnacentral:rRNA from 1 species